rnacentral:lncRNA from 1 species
UGUGCCCACUCACCUCAUGUAUAAAUAUUCCUGUCUCCCCUUGUCUUGUGCCAGUUUGUCUGGUCAUUGAGGCAGUGAUUCAGCAGUAUGUUAGGUGUAUCCUCCUUGUGAGCAUUUUGAGUUUGUGCUACCUUUUAGCGAGUAAAGUAUUUGGAGUUUGUACUGUACUUUUUAAAAGUUUAUAUUUAUUUUUCUAGACAACAGCCAGUGACUGAGGCUGGCAGCUACAGAAGGCUGGCAGAUUGAUUUUCCAAAAGUAUUUUGAGUCAGAGAGCUAGGGGAACAUGUCUUCCAACAAGAUAGAGUGUGUUUACUUCUUGUGAAACCAUUUAAAUGUGUGUCUGUGACAUGCUGAAGGCGCAAAUAGUCCUGAAGUGACCAAACUAACUCGGGAGACAUCCAACAAGUAUCCAGAUCAGAUGCUUGAACCACCUCAAGUGGCUCCUCUCAAUCCGAAGGAGCACCCUCCAGCUUGACGACCCUGAGACUCCUUACGAACCCAAAGGGGGCAUUCCUGCCGAGUAUGGACUGUGUAUGUCGUACUAGCAGUCUUCUGCAAACCACCCGGGCAUGCUCUGGAGGUCACAGCGCAAUGACCACGACCUCAAGGCCUCGUUCACCAAACUUUCUGAAGAAGAACUUUCUUCCUAAAACCACUUAUGCAGUUUUCAAGAAGUUUGGCAUUCACUUCAUGGAGAAAUCCCUCCACUUCAGAACUGGUGCUCCACCCUUUUUAGGCUUUUGUGUGGGCAUUCUUGACUUAAUGCUCUCAACGUUUCUUUUCAAUUUCUGUAUGUGCACACGGCAUGUUGUUUUGAAUGGCAUUAACCUGCUAAACUGGAUUGUGCAUUCAAUUGAAUCAUUAUUAGAACACAGAUGUUAACAAUUCUGCAGUGACGUAGACUUUUCUUAGGACCUUUCUCAAAAACAAAUUCAUGAAAAACUUUAGAUUUCGUUAAUGAAGAUGAUUGUAAUGAUCAACAUUGAAUCCCUGGAAACAUGUGGCAAAAUCUUCCCUGUUACUAGGCCUCUGUUUAGACUAUUUACAGCCAACACUAAGCACAGAUAAUCUUGCUUAAACCACAUUUAAACUUUGGAGUAUAUCACCGUGGAAUCUCAGCAGGUAUAGUAUUGGAAGAGUAAAUUGUGGUACCUUUUUGUAGUUUCUUGUUCAUUGUUUUUUUAACCUUCUAACCAGCCCCACAGGCACCUCAGGUAAUGAGAUUCUGCAGCCGUUCCCUUCUUUUCAAUUUUUCAUACAGUGCUAACAAAACCAGCCAGAGCUGCUUUCUGUAUACAGUUCGAGAAAUUGCCUUGAGAUCAUACUGCGUUGUUUAAGAUCUCCCCAGCUGUGAUGGGUUUCUCCGGGUUAUUUAUUUGUUAUCUCAAAGUGACGCAGGAGCUUCAUGCAUUGUGUAUCAAACUUGGGUUCUUAGACGGCUGCAUUUCCCUGCACAGCGAAGCCAAGUACAGAAAGCCUGGCGCUCCACUUUGAAGUGUUGUAUCAAUGACGUGAUGGAGAGGGAAAGGAGACGAGGAGGAAAUGGGGACAGAGAGAAAACAAAGAAGGGGGAGAAAGUGUAGGAAAAGGAAGUCGAAGUGAGAGGGGGGGAGAUGUUAAAACAGAGUGGUAGUAAGAAAGAGAGAUUGCAUGGAGAGAUGGGUUCAGGCAAUCUACAAGAGGUCACACCUCCAUCUCUCUUUUCAUCUCUCUAAAGUCGGACACAUGAGCUCUGAGAUGGAUGGAGAGGCAUCAGUAAACUAGUGUGACAACUAUCACGCCGUCUCUUCAUGUUUCAAUGGGUCUAGAGUGACUCAUAUGUCAGUAACAAUCUGUGAUGAAGUGUGUGUUUGAUUGUGUGUACGUGUUUGUAUGUGUGCGCACACAUGUGACGCAGUUAGUAUACGUGUAAAAGUGUAUCAUCUCGGCAAGGAAUAAAAACGUACGCACACCCUCAUA